rnacentral:rRNA from 1 species
UACGGGGGGGGCAAGCGUUGUUCGGAAUUACUGGGCGUAAAGGGCUCGUAGGCGGCCAACUAAGUCGGAUGUGAAAUCCCCAGGCUCAACGUGGAGGGGUCAUUCGAUACUGCCGUGACUUGAGUACGGUAGGGGAGUGUGGAAUUCCCGGUGUAGCGGUGAAAUGCGCAGAGAUCGGGAGGAACACCCGUAGCGAAGGCGGCACUCUGGGCCGAUACUGACGCUGAGGAGCGAAAGCGUGGGGAGCGAACAGG